rnacentral:rRNA from 1 species
UACGUAGGGGGCGAGCGUUGUCCGGAUUUAUUGGGCGUAAAGCGAGCGCAGGUGGUUUAAUAAGUCUGAUGUAAAAGGCAGUGGCUCAACCAUUGUGUGCAUUGGAAACUGUUAGACUUGAGUGCAGUAGAGGAGAGUGGAAUUCCAUGUGUAGCGGUGAAAUGCGUAGAGAUAUGGAGGAACACCAGUGGCGAAAGCGGCUCUCUGGACUGUAACUGACACUGAGGCUCGAAAGCGUGGGUAGCAAACAGG